UUCCAAUUGUGUAGGCGACCCCUCCUCCCACCUUCUGGAAUCCCUUUGUCUUUUCUGCUUCCUCCACCGACAGGAGCCACAAACUCCAUCAAGUGAUUCCUUGUAGAAGAAGCUAGCCGCUGCUUUCCUGCUCCUUCAGUCCGAGAGGCAAUGAGGGAUGGAAAGAAACUGUUAAGGGCUCCUUGAUGAUGGGACUGUCACGCACAUGGGGUGUGCAGGGAUGCGCAGCUCUCUCUCUGAAAUGGAUCCUCCAGAAACUCAUCUCCCACUUUCUGUGGGAAAGCAGGAGCCUAACUUGAGCUGGUGCCGGGCCCCAGGUUGCAAACCUACCUCUGGAGGUGUCUGGGCGCCCUCCAUCCUUGCGUGUGCAUCUUUACCAGACAGAGAGGUGGCGGCAAGUCUCCCGGCCUGGGUCUCCUGGACCACUGGGGCUUCCUUGGGCCAGCCAUCCUGGAGGCAUCUCUCUCAGAAGGGGGUGAGGGGCUCGUCGCCCAGGGAAAGGAGACGCAGUCUGAGGAUUCACAGCGACGGCUGCUGACCCUCGGCAGGCCUGGGGCCCUGGACAGCAGCCGCGUGUGGAAUCUCAGAGUCCUCGGGGCACACGGUGGGGCGCUGGGGUGGGCGCUCUGCCCAAGCCGGGGCUCCGAGCCCCGCGGCCCCGCCCGCUCAACAGCGACGCCGUGUGGCCGAGAGAGGCAACGGUGGCUGGCCUGCUGCUUCUCUCUACCCAGCGCCAGGAAGCCAGACUGACCGCCGCCUCCUGACAGCAUCAACCUCUGGGAGAAAAGAACGAUAGUAAGGCAACCGGGGGCUUGAUCAACUAAUUGGGAAAAAAAAAAUAGGAGCUAUCAUCUAAUAUUUCCCGAACACCGACGAGUUAUAAUGCAACAGGCAUCCCCGAGCCCUGCUUCAUCCCUGAUCCACACCUGGGUAGGGGUCAGGGGUAGGGAGGGUCUUAGUUUUGGCAGCAGGGUGUCGUUUCCCACAUUACUUAAUAAUAAAGACGUUGACUGUUUAGUGGCUUGUCUCUUAGGCUGUGUCAGAAUGUCCCUGAGUCAAAAUGGCAGCAUCAGAGCAGCUGCAAUGAAGCCUCUCACACACAGUGGCUGCAUCACAAGCUCAGGAGCUCCCGGGUGGCGCUUCCUCACCCCCAUUCCCCCUCCGUAAUACCUGGUUCUUUCUCUGUCGUUUCCCAGGAAGCACCUUUCCCACAGAGAGUCAGGGAAGUGGUGCCCCUGAUUGUGUAAUGUGGUGGACCCUGGGAACACGGGCAAGUGAGGGCUGGACCCACCCGAGGGAGAGGGUUCCUCUGAUGUGUCCAAAGGUUCCAGCUCUAGAGGGCAGGUGUUCAUGACACAGGGAUGGUACAUGGGUAAUUCCUUGGGUACCAAUUCCUGUCAAUUAGCACACGUUGGGAAGGAUUCCAUCACGAUGCCUGGGUUCAGUGGGUGAGUGUGGCUGAUUGAUGACUGUACGUUUCCUAUUGUGAUUGCAGCAAAUUCCCACACACUUAGUAGCUUAAAGCAACACAGAUGUAUUAUCUUCCAGUUCUGGAGGUCAGAAGUCCAAAAUGGGUUUCACUGGGCUUAAAUCAAGGUGUCAGCAGGGCUGCAUUCCUUCUGG